GUGCUGCUGAAGAGUCCCGAUGUGGAACGGAGGAAACAGCUGUCCAGUAC
rnacentral:hammerhead_ribozyme from 1 species